rnacentral:lncRNA from 1 species
CAGACUGCAGGGAGCAAGUGCAGACACCGGGAGACCUGUGGGAAGCUGCUGGAGUGACCCCGGAAAACCACGAUGCGGGUUCUGAAGAGGCAGGGGCAGUGGAGAUAGCUCCCUAUCUCUGCGAUAGUGAGAUGACAGAUUCUGAGUAUAUGUUCAAGGUGGAACCAAUACAAUUUGCUGAAAGAUUGGAUUGCAGUGUGAGAGAAAGAGAGGAGCUGAAGAUGACUUCAAGGUUCUAGACCUUUUGGAAGGAAGGAAUGUUCAACAGAGAUGGGAAAGGUUACAGAUGGAGCACAUUUGUGGGAAAAGGCCAGGAGUUCCAUUUUGGGCAUGUUGGGUUUGAGAUGUUUAUGGAAAUAUUAAGUAACCACUAUUAAGGAGCUGUUAUAUGUUAAAGGACUGAAAAGAUGUCUGAAGAAUGCUCAAUAUACCAUAUUAGAAAACCAGAACCAGCCGGGCGUGGUGGCUCACGC